UACAGAGGUCCCAAGCGUUGUUCGGAUUCACUGGGCGUAAAGGGUGCGUAGGCGGUCGGGUAAGUCUGAUGUGAAAUCUCCAAGCUCAACUUGGAAAUGGCAUCGGAUACUAUUAGUCUGGAGUGGUGGAGAGGAAAGCAGAAUUCCUGGUGUAGAGGUGAAAUUCGUAGAUAUCAGGAGGAACACCGGUGGCGAAGGCGGCUUUCUGGACACUAACUGACGCUGAGACGCGAAAGCGUGGGGAGCAAACAGG
rnacentral:rRNA from 1 species